GAUGAACGCUGGCGGCGUGCCUAAUACAUGCAAGUCGAGCGAACGGACGAGAAGCUUGCUUCUCUGAUGUUAGCGGCGGACGGGUGAGUAACACGUGGAUAACCUACCUAUAAGACUGGGAUAACUUCGGGAAACCGGAGCUAAUACCGGAUAAUAUUUUGAACCGCAUGGUUCAAAAGUGAAAGACGGUCUUGCUGUCACUUAUAGAUGGAUCCGCGCUGCAUUAGCUAGUUGGUAAGGUAACGGCUUACCAAGGCAACGAUGCAUAGCCGACCUGAGAGGGUGAUCGGCCACACUGGAACUGAGACACGGUCCAGACUCCUACGGGAGGCAGCAGUAGGGAAUCUUCCGCAAUGGGCGAAAGCCUGACGGAGCAACGCCGCGUGAGUGAUGAAGGUCUUCGGAUCGUAAAACUCUGUUAUUAGGGAAGAACAUAUGUGUAAGUAACUGUGCACAUCUUGACGGUACCUAAUCAGAAAGCCACGGCUAACUACGUGCCAGCAGCCGCGGUAAUACGUAGGUGGCAAGCGUUAUCCGGAAUUAUUGGGCGUAAAGCGCGCGUAGGCGGUUUUUUAAGUCUGAUGUGAAAGCCCACGGCUCAACCGUGGAGGGUCAUUGGAAACUGGAAAACUUGAGUGCAGAAGAGGAAAGUGGAAUUCCAUGUGUAGCGGUGAAAUGCGCAGAGAUAUGGAGGAACACCAGUGGCGAAGGCGACUUUCUGGUCUGUAACUGACGCUGAUGUGCGAAAGCGUGGGGAUCAAACAGGAUUAGAUACCCUGGUAGUCCACGCCGUAAACGAUGAGUGCUAAGUGUUAGGGGGUUUCCGCCCCUUAGUGCCGCAGCUAACGCAUUAAGCACUCCGCCUGGGGAGUACGACCGCAAGGUUGAAACUCAAAGGAAUUGACGGGGACCCGCACAAGCGGUGGAGCAUGUGGUUUAAUUCGAAGCAACGCGAAGAACCUUACCAAAUCUUGACAUCCUUUGACAACUCUAGAGAUAGAGCCUUCCCCUUCGGGGGACAAAGUGACAGGUGGUGCAUGGUUGUCGUCAGCUCGUGUCGUGAGAUGUUGGGUUAAGUCCCGCAACGAGCGCAACCCUUAAGCUUAGUUGCCAUCAUUAAGUUGGGCACUCUAAGUUGACUGCCGGUGACAAACCGGAGGAAGGUGGGGAUGACGUCAAAUCAUCAUGCCCCUUAUGAUUUGGGCUACACACGUGCUACAAUGGACAAUACAAAGGGCAGCGAAACCGCGAGGUCAAGCAAAUCCCAUAAAGUUGUUCUCAGUUCGGAUUGUAGUCUGCAACUCGACUACAUGAAGCUGGAAUCGCUAGUAAUCGUAGAUCAGCAUGCUACGGUGAAUACGUUCCCGGGUCU
rnacentral:rRNA from 1 species